CUAUAUAAGCCCCUCUGUUAACUUUUGUUCAAGCCUGUCUAGAUCUUUUAUCAGUCUAGAAAGAUGUUGGAGAAAAGACAUCAUCCUCUUCUAUAAUCUCCAUCUGUAAUUGGACUAACAACUGGACCAGUCAAUGCAGGCAACUUACUCUCCAUUCGACCUUGCAGGUCACACCAUGGUCUCAAGAGGGAAAAUGAGUGCUCUAUGGAUUGAACAGAAAAAGGUGAAUCAAAACUCCAACAUCUGUAUGAGGGUCUGGAUGGAUAAAGGAUGCCCACUGGAGCUGGAAAUGAUGGAUCAGGUGGAUCCACACUUGAACCAUCUGUAUGAUGAUCUGCACCCACUGGAUCUGUAAAUGGUGGUGCAGAAAGACACAGCACAUCAUUAUAUCGUUGGCUCCGCCCACUGGUGUUCAGUCUAAAGUAGUAGUUGUUGACAAUCAUAAAGUUGUAAUAACAGUAAGAUUGUGAUGUCAGACAAACAUUGUGCUGUUGCUGGCUGUGGGAAAUUAGUGUCUUUGUAAGGGUCGCAAAUAAUUUGAAAAUAUUUAUGUUUCUAAAUAUGCCCCCCUACCAUGAACUAAACUGGACUGUUGCAGAGACCAAGUGUAGUAGGGUACACUACUAUGCAGGUGACAUUCUUUUGUUUAUUGAAGCUAUGACAAAUAAUUUGUCUGUUUAGUUAAUGUUUUAUACAGUGUAACUGUACCUAAACAUUGUUCCUUGAGGUCCUCUGCUAUUUACAUUUUGUAUGUCUUCCUUAUUUAACACACCUUAUUCAAAUCAUCAGCUCAUUAGUAGAGAUCUUCAUGAACUGAACUGAGGCUGUGUCCAAAUGUUCACACUUGUUGUCUUUGCACUAGACUACUUACAUUACGGGGUUUUUUUUGUAUUUGGCCUAAGUAUUCUAGUGGGCGUGAAGAUCCCAAGCGUGCAUGUAGAAUUAUUCAUCCGAUGG